rnacentral:rRNA from 1 species
AGAACGAACGCUGGCGGCAUGCCUAACACAUGCAAGUCGAACGCUCUUGAGGCUUCGGUUUCAAGAGAGUGGCGCACGGGUGAGUAGCGCGUGGGAACCUGCCCUGUUGUGGGGGAUAACCGAGGGAAACUUCGGCUAAUACCGCAUGCGCCCGGGGGAAACCCCGGGGAAAGAUUUAUCGCAGCAGGAGGGGCCCGCGUCGGAUUAGGUAGUUGGUGGGGUAACGGCCCACCAAGCCUGUGAUCCGUAGCUGGUCUGAGAGGAUGAUCAGCCACACUGGGACUGAGACACGGCCCAGACUCCUACGGGAGGCAGCAGUGGGGAAUAUUGGACAAUGGGCGCAAGCCUGAUCCAGCAAUGCCGCGUGAGUGAUGAAGGCCUUAGGGUGUAAAGCUCUUUCGCCCGCGACGAUGAUGACGGUAGCGGGAGAAGAAGCCCCGGCUAACUUCGUGCCAGCAGCCGC